GUGAGCGGGACGCGCCCGGGCCACCUGGGCGGAGGAGGCUCCGGAAACUCCGGGGCGGGCCCCGAGUGCUCUCGCCGGCGACCUCGGGCUCUUCCCAGUCAAGUGCUGCGUCGACGUGGCCACUCCGCGACUGGGGCGGCCGCCCAGGUCCCCCAGGGCCAGCUCGGUCCCGCCUGCCGAGUGUCGUAACCAGGCAGCCGGUCGAGUUCUAGAAGUCUCCGAGAACCCUGCGCCAACUGCAGCUCCUGUUGGCGCUUCUCGCACUGCGCUUUUGAUUUAGGGGUCCGGGAUCUGGAGGAAGUGAGGAAGAAGGGAGACCGAGGGACCGGGACGCAGCGCCUGGCGCAGGGCCUCGUCUCAGAACUGGGUCGGGGAGUUACCACCGCGCGCGCAAGGAGCGCUAAGCCUGUUGAACCUCACAGUUGGCUCCAACCGCGGAAAACCACUGCUUGCCCCACCAGCCAGGCAGACGUGACGAGUUUGGUUUCUAUUCCUCGAAGGAGAUUGAGAGUUCUAAAUACACGAAUGUACAUUUAGCGCGACUGUAACUUGUGCUGGAUGGAAGUUCCCACGAUGUUGGCCAAAUUCAGAAUAAAAUUCUUCGAAGCGUUUUUGAAAACCGAUUCGUCAGUGCUAAAUAUUGAGGAUGAAAAGGAAUAAUCUCCUCCCAAAUCUGUGAGAUAUAUGAGGACUUCAAAUAAAACUACACAUGAUCCAUGCCUUCAGCAAUACUAGAAAAGAGAGGAUACCAUAAACAUCAAAUUGCCAGAAAACAGAAGAAUGAAAAGUGAUGGCCACUUUUGAGAACUAAGACUGUUUUCAGCUCUUGGGACCUUAUCUAGGUGAUAAAGUUCUACAGAAUAGUUGGCAGGAAAAUAAGGAAAAGAGGUCACAGAUAGAAACUUGAUUUCUAUCCAGUGCAUUUAGAUACAAUCGUGCCAGCAAAUUCCUCAAGGACAUAGUGCAAUGGAAACAAUUCAGAAAAUAAGAAAAACAGACAAAAAAGUAUGAGAAAACCUCAAAAAAGUUCAUGGAAAAUGGGAUUCAGAGGCCUUCCCUGCUACAAGGCAUGAACCUGCUCAGGUCUCACCUCAACGUGCUGCCAGAGCUCUAGCAAACCCAGCUUCUGCUCACAUUUCUGCCUCUGACACCACCAGACCGAUCCGCGUGGCUAUGAAGAUCAUCAAGCUCAC